rnacentral:lncRNA from 1 species
UUUGAUUGUUGUGAUUGUCAUGCCUUGCAUUAGACCGUUCAUGCAUCAUGUGUGUCUUGCAUCGUGUGGUGUAUAUCGUGUGUUGAUGCUUGUUUCCGGUUUCCUCCGUCUCGAUAGAGUUCCGCAAGCGUGUCGGAUGUGAGGGUCGUUCGACUACGUCGGUUCGUCUGCUUCGCAGAGUCAUUCUUCUUCGAAGCGGGAUCUCAGGCACGAUGAUCAUUUCCCCAGAUACCAUUACUAUCAUUGCCAUGCUAGUUAUCGCUUCUACCAUUUAUGUCUCGUUGCCUACCACAUGUUUCCAUAUCCGCCUCUCAACAAUGCCAUGAUUACCUUCAACCUGUUCGACCUAGCAAACCACUGAUUGGCUAUGUUACUGCUUGCUUAAUCUUGUUGUUAGCGUUGUUAGUUGCAGGUGCAGUUGCUUCCAUGUGAAAACAUGGGUUCCUUGUCAUAUCACCCUAUUAAAUGCCAUUUAAUUUAAUGCACCUAUAUACUUGGUAAAAGCUGGAAGGCUUGGCCUUUCUAGCCUGGUGUUUUGUUCCACCUUUGCCCCCUUAGUUUUCGGCUACCGGUGUUAUGUUCCAUAAAUGAGCGCUCCUAACACGAUCGGGGUUGUUAUGGGGACCCCCUUGAUAAUUCGUUUUAGAUUAAAGCUGGUCUGGCAAGGCCCAACUUUGGUACUACAUUUGCCUAAUAACUAACGAACUACAUAGGGAGUAAUUAACCCGAGGAUAUUUAAUCAACCCCCGGGCCAGUGCUCCUCAUGAGUGUUGGCCCCACCUGAGCGAUGUCCGGCGCCCCUCUGGUCACCUGGAGGUUUAGCGAUCCCGACGUCUAGCUCAUCCGUCGUGUCCUGAGAACGAGGUACGCGACUCCUAUCGGGAUCGUCGACACGUCGGGCGGCCUUGCUGGAUUAGUUUUACCUUUGACGAGAUAUCUUGUGCAUUGGGAUUCCGGUGAUGCUUUGGGUAAUCUCAGAGUUGAGGUUUUCCACUAGGGAAUCCGACGAGAUCGCGAGCUUUGUGAUUGAGGAUUUCUAUGCAGCUUGUGGUAAUUUGUGAUGGACUAGUUGGAGCACCCCUGCAGGGUUAAAUCUUUCGGAAAGCCAUGCCCGCGGUUAUGUGGCAACGUGGAAGCUUUGUUUAACACUGGUUCUAGAUAACUUGAAGUUAAUUAAUUAAAAUAUGCCAACUGUGUGCGUAACCGUGACUGUCUCUUUCGUGAGUUCCUUCUCCCAUCGAGGACACGGUGGGGUUAUGUCUGAUGUAGGUAGGUGUUCAGGAUCAUUCGCUUGAUCAUCAGUAGUCACGUCCGCUAUGCGUGGAUCUUCCCCCUCUUAUUUCUGGUAUUCGUAAGUUAGCCACCAAAUAUGUGCUUAGCCGCUGCUGCAACCUCACCACUUAAGCAUACCUCACCCAUUAAGCUUUGCUAGUCUUGAUACCUUUGGAAAUGAGAUUGCUGAGUCCCCCGUGGCUCACAGAUUACUACAACACCAGUUGCAGGUACAGGUAAAGGUUACUUGACGCGAGCGCGUUGAUUGUUCAUUUGGAGUUGCUUCUUCUUCUUCUGCAUCGAUCUAGGAUGGGUUCCAGGCCGGCAGCCUGGGAUAGCAAGGAUGGACGUCAUUCUUCUUUUGUCGUUUGUUUUCGUACGUAGUCGGACCCUGCUCUUACUCUUGAUGUUUAUGUAAUGUACUGGUGUGACUCUGAUGUAGCUUGUGGCGAGUGUAAGCCAACUCUUUAUAUAUCUCUUCUUUUCAGUACAUGUACUUCUAACGAUAUCCAUUCUUGCGACACGAUGAGAUGCGCUUCUAUCCCCGACGAGGCCCUCGUGCCAAAUUGAGGAUAGGGUCGCAUCUUGGGCGUGACACUCAUGCCAAGACCACUAUCACACAUGCACUCACAUAUCCCACCAAGGUGACACAACAACACAAGGAUCAAAACAAAGAAGACAAUAAUAUGAUGCUAUGCAUGAUGCAUGAAGCACAUGAAAUGAUGACACCACUAAGUCUUACAUCCAUCUCAUUAACAAUCCAAGGUUGCCAUACAAGGAAAUAU